AGCGGCGAACGGGUGAGUAAUGCAUCGGAACGUGUCCCGGAGUGGGGGAUAACCCGGCGAAAGCCGGACUAAUACCGCAUAUGCUCUGAGGAGGAAAGUGGGGGACCUGUGAGGGCCUCAUGCUUUGGGAGCGGCCGAUGUCCGAUUAGCUAGUUGGUGGGGUAAAGGCUUACCAAGGCGACGAUCGGUAGCUGGUCUGAGAGGAUGAUCAGCCACACUGGGACUGAGACACGGCCCAGACUCCUACGGGAGGCAGCAGUGGGGAAUUUUGGACAAUGGGGGCAACCCUGAUCCAGCCAUGCCGCGUGCGGGAAGAAGGCCUUCGGGUUGUAAACCGCUUUUAGCUGGGAAGAAAAGGCAUCUCCUAAUACGGGGUGUUCUUGACGGUACCGGCGGAAUAAGCACCGGCUAACUACGUGCCAGCAGCCGCGGUAAUACGUAGGGUGCGAGCGUUAAUCGGAAUUACUGGGCGUAAAGCGUGCGCAGGCGGUUCGUUAAGUUUGUCGUGAAAGCCCCGGGCUCAACCUGGGAAUGGCGAUGAAAACUGGCGAGCUGGAGUGUGGCAGAGGGGGGUGGAAUUCCAGGUGUAGCAGUGAAAUGCGUAGAGAUCUGGAGGAACACCGAUGGCGAAGGCAGCCCCCUGGGCUGACACUGACGCUCAGGCACGAAAGCGUGGGGAGCAAACAGGAUUAGAUACCCU
rnacentral:rRNA from 1 species